rnacentral:lncRNA from 1 species
CUCAGCCUUCACCUUUUAUUAGCAGGAACUCUUCUUUAUGCUGUUACUUCCCCAGAGAGCAUGUUAUUCCUAGAUGAUCCACAAAUCUCACCUGAUCUGGGGCUUCCCAGCUGCCUUGUGCAUAAUGAAAAUUUGAAGGCGCGGAGGUGAAAUUGAAAUGCACAGUAGCAAUUAGCAUAUUAUAAAAAGUACUGCAAGUGAGAAGGGCAGGGGGUUUGCCUUGCUGUGAAAGGACUGCCUACUCACUCUCCAGAAUAGUGCUGCCAUUGGGGUAAGGUAAGCAGAACGUUCCCCAAGAUGACUCCUGCAUGUAUGUUGUGGAGGAAGGACAGACAAGACUCGCUGAAAGAUUGCAUCUGCCCCAUGACGGAAGGGAGAACCACUCCCCAAUAAAGGUAAACAGAUCUGCCACUGGAUGUAUACAAGGGGCAGAUCUGCUGAGCUGGGACAUGCUAUCUGGUGACAGGAGCACAGCUGCUGUAUCCCCGCCUUCCACAAACGCUAACAGCUCUGAGACCUUCUUUGUAACAGUUUUGGAUAGUAUCCCAUAAAUGGCUAAGAAAAAGAAUUAAAUUAUAACAAAAGGUGGGCA